rnacentral:rRNA from 1 species
CCUACGGGAGGCAGCAGUGGGGAAUAUUGGACAAUGGGGGAAACCCUGAUCCAGCAAUGCCGCGUGAGUGAUGAAGGCCUUAGGGUCGUAAAGCUCUUUUACCAGGGAUGAUAAUGACAGUACCUGGAGAAUAAGCUCCGGCUAACUCCGUGCCAGCAGCCGCGGUAAUACGGAGGGAGCUAGCGUUGUUCGGAAUUACUGGGCGUAAAGCGUGCGUAGGCGGUUAUUCAAGUCAGAGGUGAAAGCCCGGGGCUCAACCCCGGAACGGCCUUUGAAACUAGAUAACUAGAAUCUUGGAGAGGUCAGUGGAAUUCCGAGUGUAGAGGUGAAAUUCGUAGAUAUUCGGAAGAACACCAGUGGCGAAGGCGACUGACUGGACAAGUAUUGACGCUGAGGUACGAAAGCGUGGGGAGCAAACAGGAUUAGAUACCCUGGUAGUCCACGCCGUAAACGAUGAUAACUAGCUGUCCGGACACUUGGUGUUUGGGUGGCGCAGCUAACGCAUUAAGUUAUCCGCCUGGGGAUACGGUCGCAAGAUUAAAACUCAAAGGAAUUGACGG